rnacentral:rRNA from 1 species
GCCGAGGGGUCCUAGCGUUGUUCGGAAUCACUGGGCGUAAAGCGCUUGUAGGCGGCUUGUUAAGUCAGUUGUGAAAGCCCUGGGCUUAACCCAGGAAGUGCAUCUGAUACUGUCGAGCUUGAGUAUGAGAGAGGGUAGUAGAAUUCCUGGUGUAGUGGUGAAAUACGUAGAUAUCAGGAGGAAUACCGGUGGCGAAGGCGGCUACCUGGGUCAAUACUGACGCUGAGGCGCGAAAGCUAGGGGAGCCAACAGG